rnacentral:rRNA from 1 species
UAAUACGUAGGUGGCAAGCGUUGUCCGGAAUUAUUGGGCGUAAAGGGCUCGCAGGCGGUUUCUUAAGUCUGAUGUGAAAGCCCCCGGCUCAACCGGGGAGGGUCAUUGGAAACUGGGGAACUUGAGUGCAGAAGAGGAGAGUGGAAUUCCACGUGUAGCGGUGAAAUGCGUAGAGAUGUGGAGGAACACCAGUGGCGAAGGCGACUCUCUGGUCUGUAACUGACGCUGAGGAGCGAAAGCGUGGGGAGCGAACAGGAUUAGAUACCCUGGUAGUCCACGCCGUAAACGAUGAGUGCUAAGUGUUAGGGGGUUUCCGCCCCUUAGUGCUGCAGCUAACGCAUUAAGCACUCCG